CAUAGCCUCCACAUAGAAUUCUCUCAACAAAUUCUCUCUACCUUUUUCUCUUCCAAGUGCUAGAGACCACACUUCUAUCCUUAGAAUCCAAGAGAAUAACAAGAUAACUCUUACGAACAUAAGAGACGUUCGUGAGAAAAGUAAGAGGAAAUCGUGAAGAUUAGGAUUCAACAAAGACUUUGUAGGUAAGGACACGACGUAGGUGGCAUGACUGGAUGCUGCUUAAGGGGCCAACCAUCAAACUCACUGUUUUGGUCAUAUAUGCAUUUUUUUCCACUAUGCUAACGUUUUAUAGAUCCCAAUGUUUCGUAAAAGAAACUUUUUGUAAAGUUUUGCUACUUAAUUAAUAAAAUUUUAGAUAUGUUCUUUUAAAAUUUUUUUGCCCAAGACUCAUCUCAUGAUAGAAAAGUCUAACUAUGCAUGUUGUAGCAGUCGGGCCUUGUUAUGUAAGGAUCAGGUUGUUACGGUUUUAUACCUAUUUUAAAAACGUAAAAGUAAUUUCAACUAUUUUUUAAAUCACUCCCAUAUGUACACUAAGAGUACUAAUGCAUUUUUUAAAAGUUCACAAAUAUUUGAAACGAGCAUUAAUGGUUUGUAUUCAUAUAUUGACAAUACAGGUAUUUUUGAAAACUUUUUGAAAGUUGAAGGACACUUUUGAAACCGAACACUAAUGGUUUCCAUGCAAACUAACAACAAUGGUACUUCUGAACUGUUUUUGAAAGUUUAAGGGUAAUUUUGAAACUUUUGAAAGUUCAAGAUUAUUUUUUUACACGAAAUACAAAGUCUAGGGAUAUUUUGUAUAGUUUAA